rnacentral:rRNA from 1 species
AUGAACGCUGGCGGCGUGCCUAAUACAUGCAAGUCGAGCGAACGGACGAGAAGCUUGCUUCUCUGAUGUUAGCGGCGGACGGGUGAGUAACACGUGGAUAACCUACCUAUAAGACUGGGAUAACUUCGGGAAACCGGAGCUAAUACCGGAUGAUAUUUUGAACCGCAUGGUUCAAAAGUGAAAGACGGUCUUGCUGUCACUUAUAGAUGGAUCCGCGCUGCAUUAGCUAGUUGGUAAGGUAACGGCUUACCAAGGCAACGAUGAAUAGCCGACCUGAGAGGGUGAUCGGCCACACUGGAACUGAGACACGGUCCAGACUCCUACGGGAGGCAGCAGUAGGGAAUCUUCCGCAAUGGGCGAAAGCCUGACGGAGCAACGCCGCGUGAGUGAUGAAGGUCUUCGGAUCGUAAAACUCUGUUAUUAGGGAAGAACAUAUGUGUAAGUAACUGUGCACAUCUUGACGGUACCUAAUCAGAAAGCCACGGCUAACUACGUG